rnacentral:lncRNA from 1 species
CAGCGAUGCCGCCGCCGGCCACAAGGUGGCAGUGCCGUGCUGCGUGGCUACACGCCCCUGGAAGCACCGGACCAGCCUUGGACUCCCGAAAGAAGCCUGGUGUAACUGAGUCUGGAAUUUUUGCUGGGCUUGCUAGGUCUACACUCUCCCACCUGUGCUCCGAGGAGAGGUGUAGACUAUCUCUUGGAUUUUGCUUGGAGGAUGUCCUUUCCGGACUCAGGACCUAGGAGAGACCAGCAGGAAACAGAACAGAGUCUACAUAGAUGUUUGUAGCUGGAGCCUACUCACCUACAGAGACCUCCUACAGAGGGGCUCUGCCCUGGCCUUUUGGGAUUCAGAGCUGAGGCGGGACACAGAGUUCGACAAAGCCAGAAGACUGAUAAUCUCAGACCUAACUGUACUGGGAGCUGGGAGCUGGGAGCUGUUGGCUUCAGGAAACUUAACCCUCUCUUGUUUAUUCUAUGGCCGAAAACUGCUGACUUCUUUUCGCUUUAACUCUGUGCUCUGGAGAAACUUAACUCUUUGUGCUUAAAUAAGCACUGGGGGUCACUUAACUCUUUGUUACUAUUCUGUGCUUUAAUAAACGCUG